rnacentral:misc_RNA from 1 species
CAUUGUGUUUAAUGCACGCGCGCAUAAAGUACAGUAACAAUAGUUAUACAUACCGAUCGUGUAUAAUGACGUCUUCGCGGACGAUAAUCGGCGCUGUCGCCUUGACUUGUGCCCUCGUGCCAAUUUGCUGGCCCGAAAUCCGAGCUGAAAAUUUGACGUACACGUCGGUGAUCGAGACGGCGGGGGGAAAGCUGCGCGGCGCCGUUUUCCGGACGAUCAGGAAGCACAAGGUGUACUCGUCGUUCAAAGGGAUACCCUUCGCAGAGCCUCCCCUUGGCUAUUUGAGAUUCAAACCGCCGGUCGAGAAGAAGAGAUGGAGCGGAGUGCUGGACGCCCUCGUGCAGGGAUCGGUCUGCACGCAGUACGACCUGUUCAACUUGACGCUCAUCGGCGCCGAGGACUGCCUGUACUUGAACGUUUUUACUCCUCACAGCGACUUCAGCAACGCGACCGAGCUCAAGGCCGUGAUGGUGUGGAUCUUCGGCGGUGGCUACCUCACCGGCUAUCCUAACACCGAAUUCACCGGACCGGAUUUUCUUCUCGAGAAAGACAUCAUCCUCGUGGCCAUGAACUAUCGUCUCGGCGCGCUCGGCUUUCUCAAUCUCGAUCACGAGAACGCCACGGGAAACGCCGGCCUCAAGGACCAGACCCUGGCUCUCCGCUGGGUGCAGCGGAACAUCCGCGAGUUUCGGGGCGAUCCCGAUCGCGUGACGAUUUUCGGAGUGAGCGCCGGCUCGUCCUCGGUGGACUUUCAUAUUUUGUCGCCCAUGUCCGCGGGUCUGUUCAGCCGAUCGAUCGCCAUGAGCGGCUCCGCGAUGAACACUUGGUGGCCGCUUCAGAGCCGGCUCGAGUCGAGGAUGCAGGAGUUCGCCAUGGGCUUUCUGUUCGGUUUUCCGAGUUUCAGCAAGGAGAGUUUGCUGCAGAGUCUGUACAAGGCGGAUGCUCGAACCAUCAUCAGGAGAUCGACUUUGCUCUUGUUCCGCCCGUCUGUAGAGAGAGUCACACCUGUUGGCAAUCAGAGAUUCUUAACCGACUGUCCGGUGGACCUGUUCGCCUCCGGAAAGUACAACAAAGGACCACACAUGCUAGGCACUUCGUCAUUGGAAUUCUUAUUUUUCAUUCACGGGAUUGGAUUCGACACAGCGAUACAAGGAGAUCUUCUUAUCAAAUCAGCUUUUUCACCCGAAACGAGGGAUCGACUGUACGAAUUGCUCGGCAAGCUUUUGUAUCACUUGAGUCCUUUGCUCGAGUUGAUCAGUUUUUUGGCUCACAACGUUAUCACCCUCUUGCCGAGACUCUUGCUUCGUGGCUUUCUCGAGAUUUUUACCGAUCUAUCGUUCAGGCUCGGCAUUGAUUCCAAGCAGCAACUCAUGGCUCAGACGAACGACCAGUAUCCGAUCUAUUACUAUGAGUCGUCGUAUGCUUCUGGAAUCGUGAAGGUCGCCAAUGAAUUCCUCAAUAUACAGGGACUCGGCCACGCCGAAGAUUUGCCGAUGGUACUUUACGUUCCAAUGGUCAACGUGUCGCUCGAAGACCCAGAAGCUAAUUUCAUGAUCGAUCGCUACACGACGUUGUGGACGAAUUUCGCCAAAUACGGAAAUCCAACACCUACCGAGCAACAGGAAGAUCUUGGCUUCGCGUGGCCCGAUUCUCGAUCGACGGAUAAAAUUUUCCAUAUAAACCUCGAGACGAAACUCGAAUCCAGGCCGCAAGGACCGACGACUGGUAUUUUAGAGAAAUUGGGCGUCGGGACAUCGCGAUGGCUCAAUUUUUGCUACGUAUAAAAUAAAAUUGGAGUGAAAAACUGGAAAGUCUCAGAGCAUUUAUCGCAUCCGAAGCGAAACCGAGGUUGAUAAUUCACGUUUACCGGGGGGAUACGACAAUCCAUGCAGAUAUUCCUCCAAUCCACACUGCAUUGAAAGAUCAUCAGAGUUCCGGCAAAAGCUGGACCAAACAAACAAUGUCCUUAACCCUACGGUAUCUUCAGAAACAAUCUGGACUAUGCAAAGUUCAUAAAAUGCGUCGAGUACUUACCAUUCUAUUUUGACUGUCCUGCUGGAACGAUCUACGAUCAUUCAAAUCAUCGCUGCGAUUAUCCCAACAAGAUUCAGGAAUACAACUACGGAGAAACAAGGAACGAUGGAAGGCCUUUUUAUCGAUUCUUAUUAAAAUUAAAUGCCACUAG